rnacentral:rRNA from 1 species
UACGGUAGGGCGCAAGCGUUAUCCGGAUUCACUGGGUUUAAAGGGUGCGUAGGUGGGCAGGUAAGUCAGUGGUGAAAUCUCCGGGCUUAACUCGGAAACUGCCAUUGAUACUAUCUUUCUUGAAUACCGUGGAGGUCAGCGGAAUAUGUCAUGUAGCGGUGAAAUGCUUAGAUAUGACAUAGAACACCAAUUGCGAAGGCAGCUGGCUACACGAAUAUUGACACUGAUGCACGAAAGCGUGGGGAUCAAACAGG